rnacentral:rRNA from 1 species
AGUCGAGCGAGAAGCCCGCAAGGGUGAGUAAAGCGGCGCACGGGUGAGUAACACGUGGGUAAUCUUCCUUGGAGCCCGGAAUAACUCCCCGAAAGGGGUGCUAAUGCCGGAUGAGACCACGGGAUCUCCGGAUCCUGAGGGAAAAGGCGGCCUCUGUACACAAGCUGUCACUCCAAGAUGAGCCCGCGGCCCAUCAGCUAGUUCGCGGGGUAAUGGCCCACCAAGGCAUCGACGGGUAGCUGGUCUGAGAGGACGAUCAGCCACACUGGAACUGAGACACGGUCCAGACUCCUACGGGAGGCAGCAGUGGGGAAUUUUGCGCAAUGGGCGAAAGCCUGACGCAGCAACGCCGCGUGUGUGAUGAAGGUCUUCGGAUCGUAAAGCACUGUCGGGAGGGACGAAUAAGGCGGCGGCUAAUAUCCGCAGCCGAUGACGGUACCUCCAAAGGAAGCACCGGCUAACCCUGUGCCAGCAGCCGCGGUAAUACAGAGGGUGCAAGCGUUGUUCGGAAUUAUUGGGCGUAAAGCGCGUGUAGGCGGCCUUGCGAGUUGGGUGCGAAAGCCCUCGGCUUAACCGAGGAAGUGCGCCCAAAACUACAGGGCUUGAGUACCGGAGAGGGUGGCGGAAUUCCCGGUGUAGAGGUGAAAUUCGUAGAUAUCGGGAGGAACACCAGUGGCGAAGGCGGC